CAGACGUCUCGCUCUGAAUCUGUUAGCUCACCAGUUGGAACUCUAUCUGCUAGGAUACGUUUCUGCUUGAGAUUACUAGUGUGAGCUCAUGGGUGGUUUGGUGAGUGAAGCAACCGAGACAACAACCUUUUUAUUUAGCGACGUCAGUUGUUGGCGAUGGUCUUGGGACGGUUACUUGGAACCCACAAAAAAGUCGCCGUGAAAAGUGCUCGGGUGUUGCUUGGAGGAGAACUAAGUUUAGCUAUGUGUUUUUGUCUAGGACUUGGUCGAGGAAACGUUUCCAGAAGCACAAUUUUGCGAAGCUGAUGAGUACAGGAGGGCCAAAGGGUUCUCGUCCGGAGCCAAUUUGAAACUGGUCGUUGAAACGAAGUUGACAUUCUUUUCUGUUCAUGGAAAUGUAGAACAUGCACAAAUCCUCGCACUGCUCCUGCUUCAAUUCCUUCGGCGUGGAUUUGCCUUCUGUAUGUUCCACCGGCAGAAUAUGCGUCCACACAUCCCUCUUAACUGUUCACUUAAUUUCAAUAGAGUUUGAAUCUCGAUGCUUCGAACAUGGUUUGGUCAUGAUGGGACUUAAUGGAGGAAUCACAAACUAAUCCAGCAAAAGUUUCCUCGCCAACAAAUCAACAACAAAUGGGUGAAUUUUGGUACUUAUUUUCUUCAGAUUUUUUAUCUUAGGAACAUUAGUAUUGGCUCAUGCCUAGAAUUCUCUGCCUGAAAUACUUGGAGAUUAGCUGGACCAAGUCAAUUACGCUGUUGUUUCCGUCAGGAAGUGGUGCUCCUGGCCCGCUGUGGCGCAACACGGAGGCUCCAGCCAUGGUUAUUGUGUGCUCAACAGCACACUGGGUCAUGCCAUUUUGCUAAUUAUAAAAUGCUCAAAGUCUUAAAGGAGAUGUAAAGUAGUCAACUAAAGUUACAAAAACAGGAGGAAAGGUCUGUUCGUGGUAUAAAAUGAAGUCUCCAUAAUUGAAGUCUAUCAAGGAUGACCAGGUGGUGUUGGAAUGGCUUGGUGUGAUUCCACCGUAGACCUGCCAUUGAAAACUGAAGGAUAUUUGGGAGCUCUUCUUUCUUAUAUAUAUAUAUAUAUAUAUAUAUAUACAUACGUUACUGCACAAGCUUAUAAAUAACAGCUAAAUUUUGAAUC